rnacentral:rRNA from 1 species
AUUGAACGCUGGCGGCAGGCUUAACACAUGCAAGUCGAGCGGAGAGAGGUAGCUUGCUACUGAUCUUAGCGGCGGACGGGUGAGUAAUGCUUAGGAAUCUGCCUAUUAGUGGGGGACAACAUUUCGAAAGGAAUGCUAAUACCGCAUACGUCCUACGGGAGAAAGCAGGGGAUCUUCGGACCUUGCGCUAAUAGAUGAGCCUAAGUCGGAUUAGAUAGUUGGUGGGGUAAAGGCCUACCAAGGCGACGAUCUGUAGCGGGUCUGAGAGGAUGCACCGCCACACUGGGACUGAGACACGGCCCAGACUCCUACGGGAGGCAGCAGUGGGGAAUAUUGGACAAUGGGCGGAAGCCUGAUCCAGCCAUGCCGCGUGUGUGAAGAAGGCCUUAUGGUUGUAAAGCACUUUAAGCGAGGAGGAGGCUACUUUAGUUAAUACCUAGAGAUAGUGGACGUUACUCUCAGAAUAAGCACCGGCUAACUCUGUGCCAGCCGCCGCAGUAGUAC